CGGGACUUACUUAGCUUGCUUUGUAAGUUUAGUGGCGGACGGGUGAGUAACACGUGAGCAACCUGCCCAGAAGAAAGGGAUAGCUCGAGGAAACUCGAAUUAAUACCAUAUGUGAUCCUGUGAAGCAUUUCGCAGGAAUGAAAGAUGCCUUCGGGUGUCACUUCUGGAUGGGCUCGCGGCCUAUCAGUUAGUUGGUGAGGUAACGGCUCACCAAGGCAAUGACGGGUAGCUGGUCUGAGAGGACGACCAGUCACACUGGAACUGAGACACGGUCCAGACACCUACGGGUGGCAGCAGUCGAGAAUCAUUCGCAAUGGGGGAAACCCUGACGGUGCGACGCCGCGUGGAGGAUGACGGUCUUCGGAUUGUAAACUCCUGUCAUCGAAGAGUAAGGCUUAUGUAUUAAUAGUAUGUAAGAUUGAUAGUAUUCGAAGAGGAAGGGACGGCUA
rnacentral:rRNA from 1 species